rnacentral:rRNA from 1 species
UUAGGAAUAUUCGUCAAUGGGGGCAACCCUGAACGAGCAAUGCCGCGUGAGUGAAGAAGGUCCUCUGGAUUGUAAAACUCUGUUGUUUAGGAAAAAUUGUAUAGUUAGGAAAUGAACUGUGCUUGAUGGUACUAUUCAAGAAAGCCACGGCUAACUACGUGCCAGCAGCCGCGGUAAUACGUAGGUGGCGAGCGUUAUCCGGAUUUAUUGGGCGUAAAGCGUCCGCAGACGGUUUGUUAAGUCUAGAAUCAAAUCCCAGAGCUUAACUUUGGUUCGUUCUAGAAACUGGCAGACUUGAGUUUAGUAGAGGCAAGUGGAAUUUCUAGUGUAGCGGUAGAAUGCGUAGAUAUUAGAAGGAACACCAGUGGCGAAGGCGACUUGCUGGGCUAAUACUGACGUU